GCUGUGAGGGGGGCGGCGCCGAGCGCGCAGCGCUCCCUACCGGCCAGUCCGCCGAGGGCGGCGGCUCCGCGGGGUCGCCCCGUGGCCGGGUGUGGCCGGCUGUAGCCGGUCUGAGGCGGCGGCCCCUCCCGCCGCUGCCCGUUGGCGCCGCUCGUCGCCGCUGCUGGGGGUGGGCGUGGCGGGACGGAGGCGCUUUCGGGAUGCGGGUUCAGCUCCUCAGUCCUCUUGUAUUUCCUGCCGUUUUCGUUUAGUUUCUGAGCUACCUGCCAACUCAAGAAAGAAGAGAUUCUAUAGUUAAUUUCCCUUUAAAACUGAUCGAAAGAGGAGAAAGAAGCAUGGAUUGUGUAAAUUCUUGCUGGUGCAGCUGCACACACUGAUGCCUUGGCUUGCUGUUUGUACACAGUUAACACCAAACACCACUAGGUGUCCUCUGUUGCCGUAUCAAGUCUGGAUUACCUCCUGGAGAUACCCCUGUGGAUUCUAACUGAAAAUACUGUUUUUAAACAAGCGAAGUGUGUGCGGGGAAACUCAUAGACCUUUUUGCUUAGUUUUGAAGUUUAAGGUGCGAUGUCACUUGGAAAUGUUUAGAAAACAUGCUAUUUGUUCCAUUUUGUUAGUAAAGUUUUUCCCAAGAGUUUAUUUGUGACCCUGUGACUCAUCGGUAUCCAAGGGAUUAUUCUCCAGCAAGGACACACAAAUAGCUGGAUAUUUCUAGUUGUCUCCAAACCUGUUGCUGAAACAAGCUCACUCACUGCCACCAAAAAGACUUUCCCUUCUCUUGCUGUGACUGAUUAUUAUCAGGCAACAAUAAUAGUCAAGAUAAAAAUGAGUACAUAAAUUAAAUUCUGGAAUUUAUGGCUCCCCCUUUGGCUGUGGUUCUGUCUGCUUGCUAGUUCUAGUCAGGAAGGGUUUUCUGUGGCAGACUGUCAAUGUGUGAAAAAUAUAAUUUUUACAGCAACACUAAUCAUUUUGUGGGAUGCAGUGAAACAUCAAGUGAGACAAGAAUCGUGCCGAGUUCCUGCUGGUGGUGUACUUAGGCUGUUUCACAGAGGGCCAGGUAGGUUUUUUGUUCCCAGGAACUUUAGAGCUCUGGGGAACUGCCCUCCAUAAGAAAUGGACUACCAUAUAUUGCCAGCUGAAAUUCCGUUGGAGCUGGGAACAAAAAUCAUCUGUAGUAUUGUCACUUUCCUUGUUGAAUGCCUUACACUGCUACCCUGCUCAAAAGCUUUUAGGGAAGUUGCACCUUAUUCUGUGUGUGUUUAGAUAAGAAUGAUAGGAAAAAAGCAGAUAUGCUUUGCUGUUUUCUUCCUCCGUGGAGAUAGCAAACAGCAACAAGUUAUGAUAAUCUCGUCUUUUUUUUUAAAUAGAAAAAACCAGAGCCAUGAGUUAUGUCUGGAUUCAUUGCUUCCUAGCUUGGCUUAGCACUCUUGAAUUUUUAACAACCCUAUCUCUGGAAAGGUGACAGAACUCUAGCUGUACUUGCAGUGACCUUAAUCUACAACAGUAGCAGGUGUUGACUGGCCAGGGGCUGGAUUCAUGAGAAGUAGUGAGGUAAGUGGUGAAACGGUAGCAAUGCUUCCAGGGCCAUUGUCUGUAAUAGCAUAUUUCCUUAUUUUUUUAAAUUCCAUCUUGUGCAUACUUCUAGAGCACAUUGCACAAUUACCUAUAAUGUUUAUUAAGGGCUUGUUUUUCCUGUGAUAUGUAUAGAUUCCUGUUCUAAUGGCAGUAAGCAACAUCAUGUGUUAGGCUAAGGGUGUGAUGGUUUGAGGUUCUGAAUGCCUACUGUGUAUUCUAGAAUUGUUCCGUGAUAUUUCUACGUAUUUCAGCUGAUUAAGUGUUGAGAACAGCCACUACAUGCCAUUAUAUUAAUUUUCAUUCAAAGCAACUACUAAGAAAUAAUUGCAUCUAGAGAUAUUCCUGAGACAGGCAGCUUGGCAGCUCUAAUUUGGUCUGUGAAAGAGAGCGAGACUGUGUAGUGUAAUUGUACACUGUGUGUGUUGGUGGAAUUUGAUCAUAUAACAGCUUGAAUGCAAAAGUAUGUAUGACAUCUUUUGCCUACAAUUGAACAGUUUAAUAAACUAUCUUAUUAAUAUACUAAUAUGUUUGAAUCUGUUCACAAGCAAGGCAGUUCUAGCUCCAGUACAGUACAUUAAUCAUUUAUUACCCUAAUAAUAUUAGCCACUCUAACUUGCAUAUUUUCAUUGUGUAUUACUAAAGCAGUUUUGAAAUUCUUUACACAGGAAAAAAGGAAUAAAAAGGGUCAUUAAGCAGAAUAAACAGCAAGUGACACUGGAAAAUACAUUAGUUUGAUAUUUCAAGCUAAUGUGUGUGUGGGCUGUGUGAAAGCACAAAGUUUUUCUCCUACAGUCUUUUUGCAACUCAGCUUCUAAAUGAGUAGGUUGUACUGCUGUUUUCCUUUACCUGGCUAGGCUAGUUGAAGCCCUUGAGGCCCUGAAGCAAGGGGGAGAAGAGGCAGGUGACAGUAGUGCAAACUGGGGUAGAGAUGAGCAAAAGUGGAGACCUAGAAAAUGACCAAUGCGUUGCGGGAGAUUAACGGACAGCACGCCAAUCGAUAUGAUUAAAUGCUGACACUUUAUUAAGCCCGAACAGCGUCUUUUAGAUGCCUGAACAGUGAUCCCGUGAAUCAAACUAUACAGUGAUUGGUACAUGUUCAUUUAGCACACACAUCUAAACAGUAUAUGAUUGGAUAGCAUUUACUGUCUCCGAGGAGGCAAAGAAAUUACCUAAGCCUGUAAGUUUCUCACUGAACGUCUGGGAGUUGUUUUUCCUGGGAGCUGUUUUUCUCCUUCCAAGGACAGUUUCUCACCACAUUGCAUGCCCUCUAGUAACCUUACCAGUAGGCUGCAAAACCUACUUUCACACUCUUGCUAUUAGCAUUAGGGCUGGAUUGCUCACAUGUCCGUUUUCCUCUAGAAAAUCCUCCACAAUGCAUGAUUGAUUACUGCAUCUUCAAAAUGUCAUUUUGGGUAACUUGUUUCUUUUUUCAUAAAAUAGCUGGUCUCAAUUGGGAGGAUGGGGUUUUUUUGUCCCUCAUACAGUCUUAAUUUAUGCUCUCUAUUCUUUCCUUUUUCUAGACCAAAUGGGGCACUUGGUUGCUUAAAAAAAAAAAAAAAAAAGCCUCAUUCCCUAUAUGAAAGGGGAAAUUGUUAGUUAUUUAUGAAUAUACUCACAUCAUGUUAUCAUUGGUGGAACUUAACUUCUAUUCUGUUAAGUUAUGUGAUAAGCUGAUUUAUUUCAAAUUGUUACAGUGGGAAAUAAAAUCAACUGAACUCA